rnacentral:lncRNA from 1 species
CUUUGAACCCUAACCGAUAAACAAAAGGCCAGAACUAGGUUAAAAAGUUGACACACAGGAUUUGGCAGCUGGGACUCACUGAGAACCUGGGGUUCCUCUUCCUCAUCCAGUCCCCACUUCAUUUCCUCCCCCCUUUCUUCUACAUGCAUUGUCAGAUGUAGCUCAAGCUGGCCUCAAACUCGUGAUCGACCUGCUCCACUUCCUCAGUCAAAGCGCAGGAGCCUUAGGUGGGCCGCACCACUGUCUUCUCAGUUCUUGCAGCUGCUGAGAGGUAAAUGUGACCAUCCAACGAGUGUUGACUCUGUGCCUUUCCAGAAGCAGGAAGCCUUCAAGGCUGCAUCUUCCAGUGGCACAGCGGAAGGAAACACCUCUCCAGGCAGCCUGUCCCAACACUUGCCGGGCUCGUCUUUCUUUCCUGCCUCCAAAGGAUACUCUUUGUUGCCUGGUAUCCAGGAUCUUUGAAACAUUUUUUAUUUUUUUUAUUUUUGCCAGUUUGUAAAAAUUAUUUCAGAGGGGAAGGUUAAUGAGGUGGCUGAUGGUCAACCCACAUUUUGCAGAAGUGGAAAACAGAACAUCAAGAGUUCAUUUCAUCUUUAUGUAAAUUCUGUGUAGGAAAGUUAAAGAAAUGAAAGCCAAGCAUGGUGGCUCAGGCCUUUAAUCCAUACCCACUCCAAGGUUACACCCACUCCAACAGAGUCACACCUCAACAGUCCCACUCCCUGUGAGAUUCUGUGGGCAAUUACACUAAAACUGCCACAGAUGCUCUUUACUUUUUUCACUUCUAAUUCCCUCAGUAUGUAUGUAUGUGUCUUGUUACUUUUCUGUUGCUGUGAAGAAAGUGUGAAGGCAACUUAAAGAAGAAAAAGGGGUUUACAGUUAACACAGAGAGAGAGAUGACUAGGAAUGGUGUGGCCUUUUGAAGCCUCAAAGCCCAUCCCCAGUGACACAGCUCCUCCAACAAGGCCACACCCCAAAAUCCUUCCCAAACAGUUCUAUCAACUGGGGACCAAGUAUUCAAAUAUAUGAGCCUAUAUGUUGGACCAAAAAAAGGCUCCAAUUCGAGGUCCAUGUAACCUCCUGAGCCUGACUUGAGUUUAAGGCUCCAAUGUGAGGCCCAGUGUAACCGCCUGAGGCGGGCUUGAGUUUGGCGACCUGUCUCUGGCCUGUAAUCUCCAUGUGGGGAUGACUCAGCAAGACUGCCCCCCUGCCUAGCUAUCGGCUAGCUUGGUGGAAUAUUAUUGUUCUUUACUCCCCACAUCACCUUACCCUAUCCUGAUUUCCAUCCCCUACCUUAGCCCUAUAUAAGUUCAUUCUUAUUGGAAUAAAUCGAGA